rnacentral:rRNA from 1 species
GACGUAGGGCGCGAGCGUUGUCCGGAUUUAUUGGGCGUAAAGAGCUCGUAGGCGGCUUGUCGCGUCGACCGUGAAAACUUAAGGCUCAACCCUAAGCCUGCGGUCGAUACGGGCAGGCUAGAGUUCGGUAGGGGAGACUGGAAUUCCUGGUGUAGCGGUGAAAUGCGCAGAUAUCAGGAGGAACACCGGUGGCGAAGGCGGGUCUCUGGGCCGAUACUGACGCUGAGGAGCGAAAGCGUGGGGAGCGAACAGG